UGCAGCUUUCUCAAAUUCAGUGUUCCCUUCUUGGUAGGCUGCACUGGCCAAAAUAGCUGCAACAGUGAUGAUGUAGUUCAUGGGCCCCCCGUUCCUUCACUGUGGGACCUGGGGAUAAAAAUUUGCUGGAGAAAAAA